rnacentral:rRNA from 1 species
AUUGAACGCUGGCGGCGUGCUUAACACAUGCAAGUCGAACGAAGUGGCGAACGGGUGAGUAAUACGUGGGUAACCUGCCCUCCUUUUUGGGAUAAGCCUUGGAAACGGGGUCUAAUACCGAAUAAAGGGGGAUGGGCUCGCGGCCUAUCAGCUUGUUGGUGGGGUGAUGGCCUACCAAGGCGGUCACGGGUCGCCGGCCUGAGAGGGUGACCGGCCACAUUGGGACUGAGAUACGGCCCAGACUCCUACGGGAGGCAGCAGUGGGGGAUAUUGAACAAUGGGCGCAAGCCUGAUGCAGCCAUGCCGCGUGUAUGAAGAAGGCCUUCGGGUUGUAAAGUACUUUCAGCGGGGAGGCGUUACCCGCAGAAGAAGCACCGGCUAACUCCGUGCCAGCAGCCGCGGUAAUAC